rnacentral:rRNA from 1 species
AUUGAACGCUGGCGGCAUGCUUUACACGUGCAAGUCGAACGGUAACAGGCCGCAAGGUGCUGACGAGUGGCGAACGGGUGAGUAAUGCAUCGGAACGUGCCCAGUCGUGGGGGAUAACUACUCGAAAGAGUAGCUAAUACUGCAUACGAUCUAUGGAUGAAAGCGGGGGACCGUAAGGCCUCGCGCGAUUGGAGCGGCCGAUGUCAGAUUAGGUAGUUGGUGGGGUAAAGGCUCACCAAGCCAACGAUCUGUAGCUGGUCUGAGAGGACGACCAGCCACACUGGGACUGAGACACGGCCCAGACUCCUACGGGAGGCAGCAGUGGGGAAUUUUGGACAAUGGGCGCAAGCCUGAUCCAGCAAUGCCGCGUGCAGGAAGAAGGCCUUCGGGUUGUAAACUGCUUUUGUACGGAACGAAACGGCUCUGGUUAAUACCCGGGGCUAAUGACGGUACCGUAAGAAUAAGCACCGGCUAACUACGUG